rnacentral:rRNA from 1 species
UAAACGAUGAGUACUAAGUGUCGGGUAAAACUGGUACUGAAGUUAACACAUUAAGUACUCCGCCUGAGUAGUACGUACGCAAGUAUGAAACUUAAAGGAAUUGACGGGACUCCGCACAAGCGGUGGAUCAUGUUGUUUAAUUCGAAGAUACACGAAAAACCUUACCAGGUCUUGACAUUUUCUUGCGAAGUUAUAGAAAUAUAAUGGAGGUUAUCAGGAAAACAGGUGGUGCAUGGUUGUCGUCAGCUCGUGUCGUGAGAUGUUAGGUUAAGUCCUAAAACGAGCGCAACCCUUGUCGUUAAUUGCCAGCAUGUAAUGAUGGGGACUUUAACGAGACUGCCAAUGAAAAAUUGGAGGAAGGUGGGGAUUACGUCAAAUCAUCAUGCCCCUUAUGAUCUGGGCUACAAACGUGAUACAAUGGUUGAUACAAAGAGUAGCUGAAACGCGAGUUCUUAACCAAUCUCAAAAAAUCAAUCUCAGUUCGGAUUGAAGUCUGCAACUCGACUUCAUGAAGUUGGAAUCGCUAGUAAUCGCGAAUCAGC